CCUACGGGGGGCAGCAGUAGGGAAUAUUGCUCAAUGGGGGAAACCCUGAAGCAGCAACGCCGCGUGGAGGAUGAAGGUUUUCGGAUUGUAAACUCCUUUUGUUAGAGAAGAUAAUGACGGUAUCUAACGAAUAAGCACCGGCUAACUCCGUGCCAGCAGCCGCGGUAAUACGGAGGGUGCAAGCGUUACUCGGAAUCCCUGGGCUGAAAGCGCGCGUAGGCGGGAUAGCAAGUCAGAUGUGAAAUCCUAGGGCUUAACCAUAGAACUGCAUGUGAAACUGGUAUUCUAGAGUAUGGGAGAGGUAGGUGGAAUUCUUUGUGUAGGGGUAAAAUCCGUAGAGAUCAAGAGGAAUACUCAGUGCGAAGGCGACCUGCUAGAACAUAACUGACGCUGAGGCGCGAAAGCGUGGGGAGCAAACAGGAUUAGAUACCCUAGUAGUC
rnacentral:rRNA from 1 species